rnacentral:rRNA from 1 species
AUACGGAGGAUGCAAGCGUUAUCCGGAUUUAUUGGGUUUAAAGGGUGCGUAGGCGGAUGAUUAAGCGUGAGGUGAAACGCCACUGCUCAACAGUGGAACUGCCUCGCGAACUGGUUGUCUUGAAUGCUCCUGCCGUGGGAGGAAUGUGUGGUGUAGCGGUGAAAUGCAUAGAGAUCACACAGAACACCGAUUGCGAAGGCAUCUCACGAAGGGGUGAUUGACGCUGAGGCACGAAAGCGUGGGGAUCAAACAGGAUUAGAUACCCUGGUAGUCCACGCAGUAAACGAUGAUAACUAACCGCUGGGUCGUAGUGAUUCAGUGGCCAAGCGAAAGCGAUAAGUUAUCCACCUGGGGAGUACGACCGCAAGGUUGAAACUCAAAGGAAUUGACGGGG